CAUUUGGUCGAAAAUCCUGUGUCAGAUAGCAGGAUGAAUUUCGAACCCUAUAACCCUUUCUGGUCUUCUCUUCCUCUUUUUUAAUAACGUUAAUUUCGAACCCUAUCUCCCUUUCUGGUCUUAUCUUCCUCUUCUUCCCACUAUGGCUUCAAUUUUAUUCAGGAGUAAUUGACAAGACUUUGAGUUUGAGUAAUUUUACACUAGGUCAAGCAGUCAAACACACGCACCACCGUCCACCGGCCAAGCGGCCACCACCACCAGCCUCACCUCUUUCUCUCGCGGUCUCUAUCUCACUACUCUGCCUCUUUAUCUCUAUCAGAGGGUUACUGGGUGGGUAAGGUAAUGUGGUCCUUCAGAAUGUAAUGAAUGCUACAAAGGUCCUUUGGAAUCCUGAAAUUCCUGAAGUUGCUUCUUUUCGUGCUGGGUUGUCCUUGCAUGUUAUUGAUCCAUGUGUGCCCCUCGGUGACAUUGAUGAUGGUUUUCGUCAUAUUCCUAUGGAUGAUGAGUUUCUGAAAUUAUUUCCAAGGAAAACACUGCAUGGGUUACACUCUACUGAGGAGGAGGGUAAAAAACCUAUCAGCUAUUGGAAUAAGCUCCUUUAUAAGAAAAUUUUCUAGAACUACUUUUAAGCUAGUCAAAUUAGUUUCAAGCUAGUGAAAAAAAGUUAUAAGUUAACUAAAAUAACAUACCAAACAUAGCCAUAAAAAGUAAAUUAUACAAUUUUUACAUAUGAUCAACAUAAAAAUGAUAAAGAAGAUUAAUAUGAAAGUAAUUAAUUAUAGCAAAAUGAAUUUAUAAAAAAUAACAAACUUAUGUACUAAAUUCAAAUAUGCUUACAAAAAACUAAAUUCAAAUAUAAGAACAUCUAAAGAAAAAAGAAGAAGCAAUUAAUACUUAAAUUUUCCAAGCUUGCUUCCUUCGAAAUACUCGCACAAAUUUAAUGUCUCACGGUUGAUCAAAUUUCCUGUCCCAAUACCUACAAUAAGUAAAAAUUAAUUUAAAGAUUAUUUAUACAAAAUUAACUUUACUUAAUAUUUAAAAUAAUAAAUGCUGAAAAAAGGGAGAAAACCGGUCAAAACUAAAAAAAAACCGGCUCCAGCCGGUCAAAACCGGUCUGGAACCGGUCAACAACAGUUGGAUGACCUGCUCAGCAGGUCACCCACUAUAUAAAGUUCAUUCCACUCUUUCUCACCCCAAAAACCCUAGCCGCUCACCUCUCAUCUCUCAUUCUCUCUGAAACGUCUUCGUCCUCCUCUCUUCUCCUAUCUUUUUCUCACUUCUUCUUCCUCCCUUUCUCCUUCUCAUCUUCCCGUUCUCCCCAUCAUCCUCUCUUCCCCUUCCUCUUCUUCUUCUUCUUCUUCUUCUUACCGAUCCAAAACCCUAACUUUCGCCCCAUGCCGAUCGAAAACCCUCAUUUUUCUCCAAAACCGAGUCAAGAAGCACCUGGAUCGGAGAUUUUUAAAAUGAUUUGAUGCAUGCAAGGCUCGUUGCUAUCCAAGCAACGAUUUUUUCACCAUAAUCCGAGGGAAGAAGCACCUGGAUCGGACAUUUAAGGCUCUGAGAUCAUCUCCCUGUCAACCAAACUGGACUUGCAAGCCACUGAAGAUGGAUUUUUUUUUCCAUGUAAAUAUCAAUAUUCAGUGUAAAAGAACGAUUUUUUACUGUAAAGUUUGAUUUUUUAUGUUAA